rnacentral:rRNA from 1 species
GAUGAACGCUGGCGGCGUGCCUAACACAUGCAAGUCGAGCGAUUUACUUCGGUAAGGAGCGGCGGACGGGUGAGUAACGCGUGGGUAACCUGCCUCAUACACAUGGAUAACAUACCGAAAGGUAUGCUAACACAAGAUGAUAUAAGAGAUUUGCAUGGAUUUCUUAUCAAAGCUCCGGCGGUAUGAGAUGGACCCGCGUCUGAUUAGCUAGUUGGUAGGGUAACGGCUUACCAAGGCGACGAUCAGUAGCCGACCUGAGAGGGUGAUCGGCCACAUUGGAACUGGGAAACGGUCCAAACUCCUCCGGGAUGCAGCAGUGGGGAAUAUUGCACAAUGGGCGAAAGCCUGAUGCAGCAACGCCGCGUGAGCGAUGAAGGCCUUCGGGUCGUAAAGCUCUGUCCUCAAGGAAGAUAAUGACGGUACUUGAGGAGGAAGCCCCGGCUAACUACGUGCCAGCCGCCGCGGUAACAC